rnacentral:rRNA from 1 species
AACGAACGCUGGCGGCAUGCCUAACACAUGCAAGUCGAACGAGACCUUCGGGUCUAGUGGCGCACGGGUGCGUAACGCGUGGGAACCUGCCUUUAGGUUCGGAAUAACUCAGAGAAAUUUGAGCUAAUACCGGAUGAUGUCUUCGGACCAAAGAUUUAUCGCCUUUAGAUGGGCCCGCGUUGGAUUAGCUAGUUGGUGGGGUAAAGGCCUACCAAGGCGACGAUCCAUAGCUGGUCUGAGAGGAUGAUCAGCCACACUGGGACUGAGACACGGCCCAGACUCCUACGGGAGGCAGCAGUGGGGAAUAUUGGACAAUGGGCGAAAGCAUGAUCCAGCAAUGCCGCGUGAGUGAUGAAGGCCUGAGGGUUGUAAAGCUCUUUUACCCGAGAUGAUAAUGACAGUAUCGGGAGAAUAAGCUCCGGCUAACUCCGUG